UUUAAAGAGUGCGUAAUAGCUCACUAGUCGAGUGUCUUUGCGCCGAAGAUGAUCGGGGCUAAGCGUUGUACCGAAGCCGCGGCAUGACAACUAAGUUUCGACCGCGUUGUCAUGGGUAGGGGAGCGUUCCGUAGGCCGUUGAAGCGUGACUGGAAAGACACGUGGAGGUAUCGGAAGUGCGAAUGCAGGAAUGAGUAACGAUAAGAAGGGUGAGAAUCCCUUCCGCCGUAAGCCUAAGGUUUCCUGGACAAGGGUCGUCCUUCCAGGGUUAGGCGGGACCUAAGGCGAGGCCGAAAGGCGUAGUCGAUGGGAAACAGGUUAAUAUUCCUGUAC
rnacentral:rRNA from 1 species